rnacentral:lncRNA from 1 species
ACCAAGGAAAAGAGGAAAGAAAGAAAGAACAAAACCUUAGUUAGAAAAAUUCAAGAGAAAAUUUUAGAAUUUCAAGGAAUCAAGUGACAAAAGGUAAGAUUUUUUAAUUUUAGCUUGAGAUCUAUCUUUCCUAAGCAUUCUUUCUUAUUUUUCGUGGUUGAAAUUCAUGAUUUCAUGAUGGAUCCCUUGUUGGCCGAACCUAGGGGGAGAAGAUUUGAUGAUGAAUUUAGUUGGAAAACAUGUUAUUCUAGUGUUUAUAGUUGGUUGGUGAUGUGUAGCAUGAAAAGCAAACAAGAAAAAUUCAUGUUCUUCCAUCACCCUCAUUAGCCAAAUCUUCCUUAUGGUAUGUUGAUGGUGGAUUUGAUUUUAUUUCAAGUGAUUUGGUUAGGAACUAAUGAUUUAUGGUAUAAAAAAAAAUCAAGUAUGAAAACCAUAGUGUUUAUGUACCCACCAUGGCCGAAUUUCAUAAGAAACCUAGUGAUGAUGAUUCUUGUGAUAUCUUGUGUUAUUUGGUUAGAAUUUAAUGAAUGGUGGUGAUGGAAAUAAAAAAUGGUAAUUUUAAAGUAUAGUUCUUUUAGUAAAUAAGUUGAAUAGUAAUGAGAAAGUCAAGCUCAUUGAGGCACUUUGGUGUAUUUUGGGACAUUGGAAAUUUGAUGAAUAUAAUUGGAGUCAAUUUGGAUGUUUUGGUUAAAUCAAAGGUAGAGAGUUCGAAUUAGGUCAAAAAUCGAACCAUUCCGAUCACAAUUGAACCAACCUAUAACACCGUCUUUAAGUGACUAUCCGAACAACCUUAUGCAUUCAUAUAGAGCCUGAAAUAGAUUUAUAAUGACAUGACACAAUAUAUUAAAUUAUUUGUCGUGUAUUGUGUAUAGGUGGUGAGUCUUCUAACAAGGGUAAAGACAUUCUGCUAGAGGACCAAGAAUAGGAGUAUUUCGAACUCCCGAUAUAGUGAGUAACCUUAUUAUCGUCUUAAUUAUCUAAGUAGUUUUUAUUCGAUUUUAUAGAAAAAUGAGUUUAAAUAAUAAAUCCUUAUGUUUUAUAAGUAAAAUGUGAUUAAAUGAAAUGAGUUUUAUAAAUCAUUUUGAAAUUGAAUAAUGAUUUUAGAAAUUGAGUAAUUGGAGAUUGUUUGAUUGUGUUGUAAAUUUAUGGUUUGAAUUGAAUGGCUUAUGGUGAUAUUGGCAUGAAUGGCUGACUUGGAAAUUGUGUUGAAAUUGCAUGAACUGUUUGUUUUGCCUUGACAAGCUAGGUAGUAAUAUAAUUGCCAUGUCAUGCUGUCGAAACUUUUAUUGAUUUGGUUGUAUAUCGAUUAGCUUACUGCAGUGGGCGGGUUUUCGUAGACCAACCUAUUAAAGGGGCACGGUAAACCCGUUAUAUUUACCUUAGUAAGAGAGGCACGGAGGGUAUCUCCUAAGGUAAAGCUUUAGAGUUCACUACACACUAAACCACCACAUGAGAGUGAACUCAGCCAACGCCAAGGAACGGCUAUGUUUUAAAACAUACAAAUAUAAUUUAUGGAUAUAUGUCUUUUCUUGAACAACCUUGGCAGACUCAGUUAGUUGCCUUGGCCAAGGUAUCUUUGAG